UAGCGCAGCUUGGUAGCGCGCCUGCUUUGGGAGCAGGAUGUCGCAGGUUCAAGUCCUGCUAUCCCGA
rnacentral:tRNA from 1 species